AACUCAUUUUAAUUGAGAUGCGCACACUAAUUAUUCUUAUGCAUCUGGAGAUUUAGUCACCUUGUUUUAGCAUAUAACUUGCAUUCUAAUCUCAUAUAUUCUUUUGGAGGCACACCAGUUUUCCAUUUUAAAUAGCAGAGAAACUCAUCUUCAUUUUCUAAUCAGGUUCUUGAUAAGCUUUUUGUCACUACAGUCGGCUUUUGUCUCUUUGUAAUGGGUAGCUUCCUGUAAAAACAUGCGUUGUUUUCAACACAUAGCAAUGAGAAACCUCACUAAAGAUGCAGGUAAGUAAUUUUAAGUUUGUAUUCUUCAUACUGCAGCAUAAUUGUUGUUCCUUUCCCAGGGUAUGUAGGAAAUUCUGUUGAAAAUUUGUUAUUGUAAAGGUUCAAAUGAAACCUAUUUCGUUUAGUGUGGUCUUUGGAUCAAGAUCAAGCUGGGAUGAUGGGGGCCAAUCAGAUUAACUGAAUGAUCUGCUUUUAUUUUUCUUCAAAAAAGAUGAAGUUUUACCUUACUUUUGUUUUCAUGAACUGAACUGUUAUUAAUUCAAUCGACAUGAUUUCUGUUCCUUUGUUAGUAUUGAUGUGAGAUUUGGCUAUAGGGAUUUUAAUCAUUUAUGAGUUUAAUUGGGACUCAUCAUGACAUAUCUUAGGAGGAACGAGGGGCCAGAAUUCUGUGCAGUCUUAGGAUGCUGACAUAGGGAUGUCAACUCUUCCCUUGAUUAUCUCCAAAUUCGCAUUCGUUUGUGAAUUGCAUUAUCAUGGUUUGGCUUAUAGAGGGAUUCCAGCAUUGAUUUGUUCAGAGUUCAAGUGGCACAUAGGAUCUGGAUAAACAAAUUUUGCAAUGUGGAGGAAAUAUGCCCCUUCUUUGUUGUUUAAAUCAGAUUACUGCAAGAAAAGUUCUCUUGACACAUACAGCCCGAUUAUCUUCAUCUCUCUCUCUCUCUCUCUCUCUCUCUCUCCUUAUGUCUGAAGUAGUUUGGCCUAAAGCUGAUUCAUUCUAGAUCUAAGUAUCUCGUUUAUGACCUACUAGACAUAGUGUAAGAUCAUCUGUACGAUAAUUUUGCAAGCUUUUUGUUUAUAUUUCAUUUUCUGUUGCUGGAGCGUGCUCGAUUUUUUGUUUUGAAUUUUAAUUGUCGGUCCUCUGCAUAGAAAAGAUAGAAAACUAGGACAACCUUAAUGGAUGAAAAUAAAGAGCACAUGUGUUGGAGUAUAUCUUUUCCAUGCACAUCUUGGAGAAUGGAGAAGUCGAACUUUGCAAGAUGAUUGGUGCUUACAUAGCUGAUUAGCCUCCUGGUCGUGUUUAGGAGCAAAAAAAUUCUAGAAAAUAUUAUUAAUUUGCUUGGAAUUAGUUGCUCCAAUUCAAGGUCUUUGAACAAUCCUUUUGUUUGUCAUCGGUUUUUUUAAGAUCAAUCUAGGCACUUCUUUCCUUUAUAAAGAGUGAUAAAUAGAAUGGGACAGUAUGGAAGCCGUAUAGCAUUGCUGCAGACUUUCCAAGAAAUUUCUGAUCUAAGAUCAAUGAGUUUACGGCUUCAAAAUUAUAAAUUAGAUGUAUAAUAAUGACAUUUGCGGCUGAUUUUCAAUUGGUACCUGUAGAGAACAAGAAAGGGGAAGAGCAUAUUAAUUUCCUUGAGCACAGGAUGUAAUAAGUAGAUGAAAUUUCUAAGACGGAUUUUAAAUCAAAAGUACAAAAUCAGCAAUUAAAGGUGUUGUGAUUUUUGAGAAGCGAAAGAAGAUGAGAUCUCCUUGAAUGUAAAUCUUCAUAAAUUGGCAGAAGACUUAGUUACAGAGUAUAUAGAGAGAACACUGAUUUGACUAAACAAAAGUAAUCAUUUUGCCUAAUUAUUAAAGGAGAAGAAGUUGGUUGAUUGUUCAUGCUACAAUUUUCUUAGCAAUUCUGGUUUCUUAUUUACUUCAGUUUAAUUGCCUCUUGCUUCAGCAAAUCCUUUAAUUAGUUCAAUCAAAUAAUGUGCUGAUUCACUUCACUUUGUCCUGGUCAAACUUGAUUUCUAAAAGCCAUUUAUACAUUCUACAUCUGCGCAUUGAAUUAGUGACAGUUCUUGGGAAAUUUAAUCUCUUGCAUGGCUUUGGACACCUUUCAAGUUAAUAUAUCGUAUGAUCGAUCUGCAUCGAACAAACAAUAUCCGGAAUGAAGUUCUUUGACGAAGUCAGUCCUUAUCUCUAAUACAUUCACUGCUGGAUUGGUCAUUCUCUGGUCACAAAAAAAAAAGAAGAAACACUUGCUGAUAAAGAGAUGGAAACUACAGUGGAUUGGAAAUUGGGUUGACUUACUCUUGUAAGAAAUUCGGCUUAUUUGUAGCGCGAUUAACCAGUUCAUGAAGUAAACAUCCACUGAAGCUUGUGUUUAUGGUACGUUAAUUUCCCUUUUAUUUGUUUAUUUGUUUAUAUCACUCUUAGUUUUAUUAGAAAUUCUAUCUCAUUCCCCUUGUCAAAACCAUAUCUCUACUUUUGGGAAGGAAAAGCUUAACAAAAAGUCUAGCAUUUUUCGCUCCUAUCAUUAUUAUUCCAGUUUUCCGUAAGAUUCUGCUACAGUAAGAUGCCUACAUUUUUCGACGAUGUAGCGGUAAGUGAAAUCAAUGAAGUUAUGUUUUUACAAAGUACAUGUGAUUGUUAUGUGCUAAUCUGCUCGCUGAUUUGACAGCAGUUGAUUACGGGGCGCGUAAGAUCCAAACUGCAAGGAGAGUGCGUAACUUUCAAGGUAGUUCCGUCAGCAAAAUAAUGAUCGAAUUCAAUGAAUCUUUAUGUCCGUAUCAUGAAGGCGUGUUGAAACGUUCGGAUUUUGGUUCAAGUUUGGCUCCAGAAACACUGUGUGGGGGAGGCUUUUGAACUACCUCGUGUCUCACGUGUGAAAGCGUGAGAUCUCUCAUUUUUGCCGCAAAUGUUGACUAUGGUACUUUAGGAGAGGAUAGGGUGGGGAUGAUGGAGUGUGAUUUGUGGGCCACAACAACUAACAAGUUUAACACUAAUUUGAGCAUGUGGCGGCCGGGCCCUACCAUCAUCACUGCCGUCGUUGCGAGGGUUGUCCCCAGCAUAAGACCGUCUUAUCUGCCGAUCAGCACAUGAUCGGCACGAGAUUGGGAACGACGUUAGCGGUAAAUGAAAUAGUCUUAUGUCAGUAAUCGUCCUCAGAAGCUUCCUCUUCUUUGUAUAUAUAUGAUGUUGCAUCCACCGCCGCACGCGUUCCGACCGUUAGCUUGAUAGAGUUGAGUUCCCACUCAUAGAUCUAUUAAUCAAUAGGCCUCCAAUGUAAGACUGUUUUAUCUGCAGAUCAGUGUAAGAUUGGCAUGAAAUUGAAAACAAUGUUAACGGCAAAUGAAAGUCUUAUGUCAGCAAUCAUUCUUAGAAA